GGAUUCCCCUAGUAACUGCGAGUGAAGCGGGAAAAGCUCAAAUUUAAAAUCUGGCAGUCUCUGGCUGUCCGAGUUGUAAUCUAGAGAAGUAAUGCCCGUGCUGGACCGUGUAUAAGUCUCCUGGGAUGGGGCGUCAUAGAGGGUGAGAAUCCCGUCUUUGACACGGACUACCAGUGCAUUGUGGUAUGCUCUCAAAGAGUCGAGUUGUUUGGGAAUGCAGCUCAAAAUGGGUGGUAAAUUCCAUCUAAAGCUAAAUAUUGGCGAGAGACCGAUAGCGAACAAGUACCGUGAGGGAAAGAUGAAAAGAACUUUGGAAAGAGAGUUAAACAGUACGUGAAAUUGCUGAAAGGGAAACGCUUGAAGUCAGUCGCGUUGGCCGGGAAUCAGCCUUGCUUUUGCAUGGUGUACUUUCUGGUUGACGGGUCAGCAUCAAUUUUGACCGCUGGAAAAAGGCCUGGGGAAUGUGGCAGCUUCGGCUGUGUUAUAGCCCCUAGUCACAUACAGUGGUUGGGAUUGAGGAACUCAGCACGCCGCAAGGCCGGGUUUCGACCACGUUCGUGCUUAGGAUGCUGGCAUAAUGGCUUUAAGCGACCCGUCUUGAAACACGGACCAAGGAGUCUAACAUGCCUGCGAGUAUUUGGGUGGAAAACUCAAGUGCGUAAUGAAAGUGAAAGUUGAGAUCCCUGUCGUGGGGAGCAUCGACGCCCGGACCAGAACUUUUGGGACGGAUCCGCGGUGGAGCAUGUAUGUUGGGACCCGAAAGAUGGUGAACUAUGCCUGAAUAGGGUGAAGCCAGAGGAAACUCUGGUGGAGGCUCGUAGCGAUUCUGACGUGCAAAUCGAUCGUCAAAUUUGGGUAUAGGGGCGAAAGACUAAUCG
rnacentral:rRNA from 1 species